CAAGAUAAUAUUGGUACCCUCCAAAUCCUGCAUCAAAAUCAAUGGAUAAAUAUAUUGUUAUCCCAAAGUAUUAUAAUUAUAUACUAAGUAAAUAAACAGAAUUAGUAGAUAAAUAAUUUUAUAAAAAAUGACUUACUAGAUGUAAUUGACAAAAAUUUUAAAACCAAGUCAAUUGUUGAACAGUCUCUCCUUAAAGCAGAUUUCAUCCCCGCUAUCGGUGCUUACGGAUGAAACAAUAGACGUCUACUUCCCAGGAUAAAAUGGUCUUCAACUCUCACAAGAAGCACUUCAAUAGAAGAGUUCCACGAACCAACAAAAUUUUGAAUACUCUCUAUGACUUUUAAUGAAUAAAGAAUGAAUUUAAUUUUAAAAACUUGAGAAGGAUUGAAGUUUUUGAUGAAGUGAUUGUUUUGGGUAGAUUUAGAACCUAUUUAUAGGUUUUCAAAUACCCCUUUGAAGAUAUACAUCCUUUUGAAAGGUUACAUCCUUUUGAAAUGUUACAUCCCUUUGUAAAAAUACAUCCCUUUGAAAAGGUAUGAACCAAAGGUCACACCUAUUGGUUUUAUUUUAUUCAUAUAUAUAUAUAUAUCCAACAAUCCCCCACAUGAAUGAAAUUUGGGUAAAUUAAUGCAAAUGAAUAUGCAGACAGACUUAGAGAGAGUAGAGUAUCAAUGAACAAAAAAUACUGAAUUGAUGAAGGUAGCUUGUGGCUUUGAACCUUUCCUAGUGAAAGACUAUCAGAUUUACUGGCCAAUCAGUGAACGUGAUGUCUUGAACUGUUCAACCUUUUAGUGUAAAUCGAGACAAUAGAAUUCACACAGUAUUUUUCAAUUUAUUUUAUUGGUUCUCAUUAUUGUAUCCAUUUUGGCCUUGGACACCUCCUGGUUUCAUAAGUGUGCUAGAUAAUUUAGCCUUCGUCAUUCUCAUAGAAGUGCCCCCCUUCUCACUCACAUAGAUUAUUUCUAUAAAGAGUAUUCUGCUAAAACCCCACUUGACCUUUUUAUAUUCAAGCUAUAGAAAUUAUUAAAAACAAAGUUUAUCCUGUUUCACUCGGCAGUUUAUGCACUGUAUCAUCAUAGAAAUGGGAAGAAGUAUUUAUCUUCUUAGUGCUAACUAGAUCACACAUAAUUAGGUUGUUCCUUUGAACCUAUUUCUUGGGAUCUCCAAUCAUUUAGGUUGGGUUUCCAUUAUGGCGACUCUUUAGGAUUUUACAGGCUUUAAACCCAUUCCCCUUGAUGAACUUUUCACUUGUUCUCCAGGUAUACCUUUUGUUAGUGGAUCCGCAAUAUUAUCCUUUGACUUCACAUAGUCAAUAGAUAUUAUACCAUUUGAGAGUAAUUGUUUAACCGUUUCAUGUAGUCGACGUAUAUGUCUAGACUUACCGUUAUAAUUAAUAUUUUGUGCCCUACCAAUCACUGAUUGACUAUCACAAUGAAUAAUAAUUGGUGGCACUGGUUUAGGCCAAAUUGUAAUAUCCUCCAAAAAAGUACGAAGGCAUUCUACUUCUUCUCCUGCUUUAUCUAAAGCAAUAAAUUCAGAUUCCAUAGUGGAUCUUGCAAUACAUGUUUGCUUAGAGGAUUUCCAUGAUACAGCUGCACCUCCCAGAGUAAACACAUAUCCACUUGUGGAUUUAGUAUCAUGGGAGUUAGAUAUCCAAUUUGCAUCACUAUAUCCUUCAAGUACAGCUGAAUAUCUUGUAUAAUGCAAUCUGUUAAUUAAAAUGUAUCUUAGAUAUCUAAGUACCCUUACUAAAGCCUUCUAAUGUUCUUUUUCAGGAUUACUUGUAUAUCGACUUAGCUUACUUAUUGAGUAUGCUAUGUCUGGUCGGGUGCAGUUUGAUAAAUACAUUAAACUGCCUAUUAUAUGAGAAUAUUCCAAUUGGGAUAUACUUUCACCAUGAUUAGUAGUGAGAUGAAGUGUUGGGUCAACAUGUGUUCUUACUGGACUUUUCUCAUAUUUAUUAUACUUUGCAAGUAUUUUCUCAAUAUAAUGAGAUUGAGAUAUAAUAAGUCCAUUAUAUAUUCUGGAAAUCUUGAUUCUUAGAAUAACAUCUGCUAGGCCCAUGUCUUUCAUUUCAAACUUGCUAAUUAACAUUUGUUUGGUAGCAUUAAUAACAUCAUUAUUACUACCAAUGAUUAACAUAUCAUCCACAUAUAGACUAACUAUUACAUAUCCCCUUUGAGUAUUUUUUACAUAUACACAUUUGUCACACUCAUUUAUUUUAAAAUUAUUUGAUAUCAUAACAUUAUCAAAUUUUUUAUGCCAUUGCUUUGGUGCUUGUUUCAAACCAUAUAAUGAUUUAACAAGCUUGCAAACUUUCUUUUCUUUUUCAGGAGCAAUAAAACCUUCUGGUUGCUCCAUAUAAAUUUCUUCCUCUAAUUCACCAUUAAGAAAUGCAGUUUUAACAUCCAUUUGAUGUAUUUCUAAAUUGUUAACAAUCAAUUUUAACAUGAUGAGUAGUUAACCAAUCAAUCCCUAAAAUCACAUCAAAUGCAAGUAUUUUUAAAGAGAUAAAAUCGACAGGUAACGUGAGGUUUCCGAUUUGAAUCAAACAAGAUUUAUAAACAAUGGAUGUAAUGAAGGUUUCUCCCAACGGAGUUUCAACAGAUAAGUCAAAGUCUAAUUUCUUCGGAGUUAAAUUUAAACGUUGAGCGCAAGUAGGAGAAAUAAAAGAAUGGGUAGAACCGGUAUCAAAUAAGGUAUAGACUUCACAAGAGUUAAUGAUUAGCUUACCCGUGAUAACUUCGUUCGGGUUCCUCGCUUUUUGGGAGGUCACGACAAACGCUCUCCCUUGAACUACCGACUUUGACUUGUCUGGGACGGCCUUUGGUGUCUCCAUCCCAGUUGGACUUGUCUUCACUACACGACAAAAUUGGGCAAGAUGACCUUCUCUUCCGCAAUUAUAACACGCUUUGGACUGCUGCGUAUAGUUUGGACUGAUAUUAGAGUAUAAUAUUUUGUUAUAACAAAGAUUUUAUUGGGAAGUACUAAUUAAGUUAUUAAACUUGAUUGUAGGAUGUCAGGAGAAGAAGAAAUUAGAGAUAUCCAUAUAGUGAGUGAAGACUUAAUAGUUGCACCCGAGCUAGUCGCAGAGGUAGCAGCUGAGAGUGAGGAAGAAGAAGAACUUGAGGAGGAUUUAUUAGGAGAACUUUAUGAUCGAAAUGUGAAACUGCAAAAUUGUAUUCAUGAGUUAGAAGAGCAGGCUGAAGAACGACAGGCGGUUGUGGAGCAAAUGGAUGCAACAAUUCAAGAUUGUGUUACCCGAUAUGUGAUGUUUGAACAGAAGCACUCUUUGGCAGAGUAUAAGAUAAUAAAGUUAGAAUCUGAGAAUUCAAAUAUCAAGGAUCAACUGAAAGAAGAAACAACUGAACGAGUGUGAAUGAAAUAUGCAUGGGUAAAAGCCGCACGACGCGUUGAUAUUAUGGAAAGAGAAGUUCGAUCCAAGAAGGCUAAAAUAGAUGAUAUGUAUUUCUCUUUUUGGACAGCAAUUGGGAAAACCCAACAUCGAGUUUUGAAUUAUCCUGUACAUUGCGGUCAACCCCUAUUCGAUAUGGAUCGAAGAUUAAUGAUUCAGAUUAUGGAUCAGACGUACGACGAAGCAGUUGAGGGUGGAAUAUGAUCUAUAGCGAAAGUCAAUUCCAGCGGUAAUGAUGACACCAAAAGCUAUCCCGGACAAGUCAAAGUCGGUGGUUCAAGUGAGAGCGCUUUUCGUAACUUCUCAAAAAGCGAAGAACCCGAACGAGGUUAUCACGGGUAAAUUAAUCAUAAACUCUUGUGAAGUCUAUACCUUAUUCGAUAUCGGUUCUACCCACUCUUUUAUUUCACCUAAUUGUGCUCAACGUUUAAACUUGACUCCAGAGAAAUUAGACUUUGACUUAUCGGUUAAAACUCCGUUAGGAGAAACCUUCAUUACAUCCACCGUUUAUAAAUCUUGUUUGAUUCAAAUUCGCACCCUCAUAUUACAUAUCGAUCUUAUCUCUUUGAAAAUACUUGCAUUUGAUUUGAUUUUAGGAAUCGACUGGUUAACUACUCAUCAUGCUAAAAUGGAUUAUUUUCGUAAGAUUGUUAGCUUUCAUAUUCCUAACUAACCUAUUAUGUGAAUUCAAGCAACCAAACUACUAAUGCCAAUCACUGUCAUAUCAAGCCAUAAAGUCAUUCGUUUAUUGAAAAACGGAUGUCAAGCUUUCUUAGCCAAUGUUACGGAUUUAAACAAAAAUACGUCAGAUUUGAAUUUUAUUUCUAUUGUUAAUAAAUUUCCUGACGUAUUUCCCUAAGAACUUCCUGGUCUAUCCCCAGAGCGUGAAAUCAAAUUUUGUAUCGACCUUGAACCCGAUACAAAACCCUCAAAUAUUUCUUCACCCAAAAGGAAGUCAACAUGCGACAACGAUGUUGGAUCGAGCUGUUGAAAGAUUAUGAUCACGCCAUUUAAUACCAUCCUGGAAAAGCUAACGUAGUAGCUGACGCGUUGAGUAGAAGAUUAUAUGCGGGUACGAGUGCGAUAUUGGCAACGCAAAAGCCCAUUUUGUAUGACUUAUAAAGGAUGGAUAUAGAGUUAAAGACUCCAGGAACCCACGUGAUGAUGUCAAAUAUACGAGUAGAACCAACUUUAAUCGAUAAAGUUAAAGCUGCUCAAGCUACAGACCUGGAGCUGAUCCGUAUGAGGAAGAAAGUGCAAGAAGGUGCUAUUCCAGAAGCAAGAAUCGAUGAAGAAGGAAUAAUUCGAGUCAACUCCAGACUUUGUGUUCCUAACGACUCUGAUUUAAAGUAUAAAAUCAUGAUGGAGGCACACAACACACCGUUUGCAAUCCAUCCCGGAAGUACCAAAAUGUAUCGUGCUCUUCGACAUACAUUUUGGUGGAGUAAUAUGAAAAGAGAGAUAAUGGAGUUUAUCUCAAGGUGUUUAACUUGUCAACGUGUCAAGGCGGAGCAUCAAGUGACAAAAGGUCCAUUGCAACCACUUGAAAUUCCAGAAUGGAAGUGGGGGCACAUUACCAUGGAUUUCGUUACUGGUCUUCCCAAGGUUUCUCAAGGCAUAGAUGCAAUUUGGGUCAUUGUUGAUAAAUUAACCAAGUCCGCUCAUUUCUUACCUAUAUGAGAAACUUAUUUACUUAAACGUCUUGCUCGUAUAUACAUAAAUGAGAUUGUAAGACUGCAUAGUAUGCCAGUAUCUAUAGUUUCUGAUCGAGAACCAAGAUUCACUUCACGGUUUUGGGUCAGUUUGCAGAAAGCUAUGGGCACAAAUUUACGAUUCAGUUCAGCAUAUCAUCCUCAGACGGACGGGCAGUCAGAGAGGACUAUUCAAACUCUUGAGGAUCUAUUAAGACUAUGUGUCCUUGACUUCAAAGGAAGUUGGGACAUGUUCUUGCUAUUAGUGGAAUUCUCCUACAACAACAAUUAUCAAGCAAUUAUAGGUAUGGCUCCAUUCGAGGCGUUGUUUGGACGCAAGUUUCGUUUUCUAGUAUGCUGGGACGAGGUGGGUGAAACAACGUUGUUGAGAUCGAAAUUGGUACGCAUGACUACGGAAAAGAUCCGACAACGUAUAAAAACCUCACAAGAUCAACAAAAGAGUUAUGCCGAUCUUCAUCGAAGGGAAGUAAAAUUCAAUGUUGGAGAUCAUGUGUUGUUACGUGUUGCUCCAUGGAAGGGAGUUACGAGAUUUGAAAAGAGAGGAAAGCUCAAUUCUCGAUUCAUUGGCCCAUUUGAAAUCCUCGAUCGAGUAGGAACUGUGGCUUAUAGACUCGCCUUACCUCCAAGUAUGUCUCGUGUUCAUAACGUUUUUCACAUAUCUAUGUUACGUAAAUAUGUGAAAGACCCAAAUCACAUUAUUGAAUUAGAACCAGACGAGAUAGCGGAAGAUUUAACGUAUGAAGAGGUACCUAUUAAAACCUUGGAUAAAAAGGAACAUAUUCUACGCUCUAAUGUUAUAUCUCAAGUUAAAGUUUUAUGAAAAAAUCACGAUAUUGAGGAACUGACAUGGAAGUUAGACUCUGAAAUGAAAUCGAGGUAUCCUCACCUCUUCGACAUACCAGGUACGUACACCAAUUUCGAGGACGAAAUUUCAUAAAAAUGGGAGGUUGUAAGACCCCAACUUUUAUGAAUAAAGAUAAUUUUCUCUAAAUAUUAUUUUUGAAUAAUAAGGUGUGGAUUUGAUAUAAUGUUAUAGUUGUGGGUAUUAUUUACAAAGUUUUCAAAAUAAGUAAGUUGUUAUAAAAUAUUUAUUUGGUCGAGGAAUAUUCGUUUUAUAAGGGAAUAUUCAUACGACGGCACAAUCAUUGGUGGACCCCACAACGGAAUUAUUGCUGAGUUAAAAAAUGACAGAAAUAACUUUUUAUAAAAAUAACAGAAAAAGUUUUUCUGUUAAACUAUUGAAAUACCCGGUGAUAAAAGUACAGUAAUACGCGUGGUUGCAUAGUAGCACACAGUAUUGUACAGUAUCUUUGAUUAUUGAUGCUUACGUGAGAAGUCACUCAGUUUUAUUCAAUUAUUGUCACAGUAAUUGCUACAUAUUGUUUUAUAUUAUUAGAUCAAUAACUUAUAUGACAAAGUUAUUCAUAUUAUUCUUUGCAUUAUUGAAGAUGUCUAGAAAGUUCUGUCGACAAAAGGGGUUUGGUCACCUAAUUGCGCGCCACUAAAGAGAAAUCCUUAUCGAAAAGCCCCCUCUUUCCUAGGAAUGAUCUGGUUGUUAAUAUUGGAAGUUAUAAAUAAUGAAUAAAUAUUAUUAAAAAUGUGUUUUGUGAAGCCAAGUGAAUUGAGAUAAAUAAAGGAAUUUUUAUUAAAGUAUUUGUUAUAAAAUUUGCUUAUUACAUGGACCCCCACUUACUCAUUUUUUAAAAUCGUCGGUAGAAAAUUAUAUAUAUAUAUAUAUAUAUAUAUAUGUCUGUAUAUAUAUAUAUAUAUAUAUGUAUGUAUAUAUAUGUGUGUGGGGUGUGUGUGUGUGACGUGUGUGUAAUGGUGUGUGUGUGUGGUGACUGAUGUGUGUGGUGGUGGAAGAUUUGUUAUAUAUAUAUAUAUAUAUAUUAUAUAAGUUUUAUUUUUUUUAUGUAAAAUAGAAUAUAUUAUAUUUUAUUGUGCAUAGUAAUGCAUAGUGUGUGCAUAGUGCAGCAUACUAAAAUUAAAAAUUUUAUUUCGAUUUCUCGUGAACUUUGCCCGUGAAAUUUUCCUACUGUGCGUCUGUGAUUUUCUAAAUUCAAAUAGUAUCAUGUCAUUCUCCUAUAAAUAGGAUGCUUACUUUAGGAAUGAAAAUAACACCAGAAUCAGAGACUUCUUCUUCUAUAAUAUUGAGUGUAUGUCUUUAGAGUUUAAGGAAGCUUUGAGUGUAAAAAACAGUGCAAGUUUUCUUCAAGAAUAUCCCCGUCCUACCAGUCAGAAGUACUAUCUUUUAAGGUAAGAGAUAUUAUUCGUAAGAAAUAAUAUUUUCUUCCAUACUCUGUAGUAUAUAAGUAAUAUUAUUUCGUUUCAGAUUCUGAAUUUUACACUCAUUUUGUUAAGUAUUACUUCUAUACUCCUUGAAAUUAGUAGAAUAUCCUGGAAUUUUGCGUUCCAUCUAGUAUCGUUUCACAAGGAUAUUUUUUUCUGAACAUUCUUGUUAAAAUUUAAUCUUUUCAUGCCGGGGUACUAUCCACGGGGUAAUAUUCACCCGGAAAAUUGAUUUCUUUUAUGUCCAAAUUAUUUUUGAUACAUGAAUAUUAUUCUUGAAUUUUACUCCACAAAGUAGUUGUCAUAUUGACAAUUUGGCUAUUUUUAAACUUUAGAUAAAUUAAAAAUCUUUAAUAUUUAUCCUUGAUUUUGUUGGAUUGAUGCUUUUAUCAUUGUCAUCAUCUCCAUGUUUAUACUAUGAUAAAAGGCAUCUUUGGCCCGUAGUGCAUAGAUGGCCUGUUGAUUGAUAUAAUUAUGACUAUGUAUCGGUAUAAUCAUGACCAUAGGUGAUAAUAAAUAUCCUUGGCCUGUAGUGGAUGGAUAAUUCAGUGAUGUGGAUUAUUUAUUGAGCUGAGUCUCAACGAUAAAAUUGAUGAUAAGCUUUUAAAUCAUAGAAGAUAGUAGAUAUGAUCAUGCUCUACUUUACUCUUCUAAUGGAUUGCUUGUUCCACUGCAGUUAAACUUGUUUCCUAUAUUCUAUCAGUUUUACACUGUUGAAGGCUAAUGAUAAUUUAUUCUGUACUAUCUUAGUCAUAAUAUUCUUUACUAGGCUAGUUGAGCUCACCCUUUGCUUUCAUUGUUCUCUUCAAGAAAUGAGAAUAUAGCAGAGACUAGUCGGGAAACGGAGUGAUGGUCCGAUAUGGUGGCUAUAGUAGUCCUCACUAUUUUAUAAAAAUAGUGUUAUAAUAAUUAUAAUGAGGACUCCAUUUGAGUUUGGAUAUUGUCGAGACAAUAUUCGUGUGAGAUCCUGAAUUUUAUAAAAUAAAGUAUUCAAUUUUUUAUUUUGGUAAAUGGUUAAAUUGAUAAAAGUUUAAAGUUAAGGGUGAAAUAUGAAAAUUUUUCAAAGUAAGCAAGUUGCCAUAAAAUAACCGUUAGUAAAAGUACAGUAAUACGUGUGGUUGCAUAGUAGCACACGUGUGACGCCCCCAAAAUAGGUCCAUUUCAUCCAACCCAUUCUGAGUCGCCAAAUACAUGGUACAGAAAUAACUACAACUUUAUUAUUACAACAUAUAAACUGUGAGUUUAAAUACAGAUAUUGCCGUCUAGACAAUAUCCACACGCAAAUAAAUCCCCAUCAUAAUUAUUGAUACAUUAUUUUACAAAAAUGGUGAGGACUACUAAACAACUCUCUCUAGAACCUUNNNNNNNNNNNNNNNNNNNNNNNNNNNNNNNNNNNNNNNNNNNNNNNNNNNNNNNNNNNNNNNNNNNNNNNNNNNNNNNNNNNNNNNNNNNNNNNNNNNNAACUUAUAUUUGUCGUUUUCUUCAUCCAAUCGCUUUCCGUUAUGGGGCCCACAAAAGACUGCGCCGUCGUACGAAUAUUCCCCGACAGUACGAAUAUUCCACGACCAAACGAAUAUUCCCCGACAAUAAUGAAUAUUUUAUAACCACUUGCUUAUUCAAAAUAUUUGCGUAUUUUACCCAUAACUAUCCACAGUAAUCAAAUCAACCCUUACUAUUUCAAAAUAAUAAAUAGAGGAAAAUAAAUUUUAUUUAUUAAUAAUUUGGGGUCUUACAACACGGUAUUAAUUAUUGAUGCUUACGUGAGAAAUCACUCAGUUAUACUCAAUUAUUGCUACAGUAAUUGCUGCAUCAUAUCUCUCAUAUUAUUGAUUCAAUUGUUGUCACAGUAUCAUCUGCAUAAUAUGAUAUAUUAUUAAAUCAAUAAUUGAGACGGAAAAGUUAUUUAUAUUAUUAUUUGUAAUAUUGACAAUGUCUAGAAGUUCUGUCAAGGAGAGAUUUUAUCACCUAAUUGCGCGCCAAUAAGAAAAAUCCUUAUCGGAAAGCUCCCUCUUUCUUGGGAACAACCUAGUUGUUAAAUAUUGUGAGUUAUAAUAUUAAUGAUGAAUAAGUUCGUGUUGAUUAAAGAUAAAAUUGAUAUUUCCAUUGUGUUGAGAUUUUUAGUGUUAGUAGAAAUCGACAUCUAUUUCGAUAAUAUUGGAUGUCUGGAGGUUAUAUUGACCAAUCGGGUAAUUAACCGGAUAAAUGAAUAAUUAAUUGCUAUUAAUUCACAUGCUUAUAACUAUGUGUUCACACGUGUGUACUAUUGAUUCACAUGAUUUACUAUUAGGGGAGUUGGUGCAAGAUUGAUAAUACUUGCAUGACUAAAUUAAAAAUGGAGGUAUAGUUGAAUGUACUAUACUAUAAUUAAUUUUUUCCACAUGUUUAGAACUAUUGAAUCAUAUGAUUUACUAUUGAUUCACAUGAUUUACUAUUAGGGGAGGUGGUGCAAGAUUCAUAAUACUUGCAGGACUAAAUUAAAAAUAAAAGAAAAGUUGAAGGUAUUGUACUGUAAUAUUUCGAGCCCCAAAACGUGCAAUUAUCGAAACUAUAUUUUUCUAUAAAUUGAAGUUCAUUCCUUCAUUAUUUUUCACCAAUUCACUAAAGUUAUAGAGCAAUUAUUAUAGAGAGAAAUUAUAGAGAGAAAGAAGAAGAGAAGUCUGCUACCUCACUAUUCUAGUAUCCAGUUUUCUUUUGAGGUAAGGGGUAUUAUUUCUUUCGUAUUCAUGAAAAGAGCUAUUGUUAUUCAAUUCUUUAUUAUUCUGUUGGAAUAACUUUUAUAUGCGAAGUACUGCAUACAUGGUGAUAUAUUCUUCUGUUAUUCCAUUCUUUAUUAUUUUUUUGUAAUAUCCUAUCUGUGCGGAUUACGCAUGACCUGAUUCCAUUCUUUACUAUUCUGUCGAAAUAUCCUGUCUGUGCGUUUACGCAUGACCUGAUUCCAUUAUUUAUUAUUUUGUUGGAAUAACCUAUCUGUGCGGUCUAUCGCAUGCUUGGUGAAUUCUUCUGUUAUUCCAUUAUUUAUUAUUCUGUUGGAAUAUCCUGUCUGUGCGGAUUACGCAUGACCUGGUUCCAUUAUUUAUUAUUCUGUUGGAAUAACCUGUCUAUGUGGAUUACCACAUGCAUGGUGAAUGAUCCUUUGUAUCCAUUCCUUAUUAAAUUAUGGAAAUGAUCUGUCUACGUGGAUUACCGCAUGGCGGAUGAAAAUUCUUUUGCAGUUUCGUAAUUUUUCUGACCCUUAAAAAUUCUGGAAAAAUUUAAAAUGAUAAUUUGAUGAGUUUUCUAUAUUGUGUCCAAUGAUGGCGAUUUUUGAUGAGGAAUUUAAGGAAUAUGCAGAUCUUUGAUGAGGAAUUUAAUCAUUGGUGAUUAAAUCUUAUGAGUAUGACAUUUUUGAAUGAUUAAAUGCAUUAUUUGAUAAAGUGUAAACAAUUCAAAUAAAUUAUUUAUAAGUUUAAGAAGUGAUUAAAAUAUUGUUAUAAUAUUAAUAAUAUUAGAUUAUGAGUUUAUUACGUGAUUGAUAAUAUUUGGAUAAAUUUAAAGUCUUUAAUAUUUAUCCUUGAUUUCGUUUGAUUAAUGUUUAUAUCAUUGUCAUCAUCCUCAUGCUUAUAUUGUGAUGAAAGUCAUCUUUGGCUUACGUGCAUAAAUGGACUGUUGAUUAUUGGUUUUACAGUUGUUUAUUUUUGGCUUACGUGCAAAGAUGGACUGUUGAUUAUUGGUUUUAUAGUUGUAUAUCUUUGACUUACGUGCAAAGAUGGACAUGUGUAUGAUCAUAACCACUGGUGAUAAUAACGAAUAUCCUUGGCCCGUAGUGUAUGGAUAAUUCGAUGAUGUGAUUGGCAGGAUCAUGACCAUUACUUAACAGUUGAAUGUCUUUGGCCGUAGUGUACUGACAGACAAUUGAAUGGCAUAAUCAUAACCAUUAAUUUUAUUAUUGAAUAUCUUUGGCCCGUAGUGUAAAGGUAGACAACUGAUUGGUAUAGUCAUUGUUAUUACAUUUGAACAUCUUUAGCCUUUGGGGUAAGGAUAUUGAGUAAACGUUCUAUUAGCCUUUAUGGCAAGGAGAAACUGUUGAUUUACAUGAUUAUAAAUAUGAAUUGUGGAUCUAACUAUAAUCUUUGGUGGUUUAGGUGAAAAUAGGUGAUGAUAGUUCUUUUUGUCUUGGGUAUAACAAAGAACUGUUGUUGAGUAUUACAUGAAUGAAAUAUUAACGAUGAACUUUUAAAUCUAGAAGAGAUAGUAGACAUUAUGUUUUACUUGACUCUUCCAAUGGAUUGCUUAUUUUCGCUGCAGUUGUUGAUCUAAAACUUGUUGUCUAUUGUAUUCUAUCAGUUGUUAUACUGUUGAAGGCUAAGGAUAAUUUAUUAUGCAUUAUCUUAGUCAUAAUAUUUCUUAUUGAGUUAGUUGAGCUCACCCUUUUUUUCAUUGUUCUCUUCAGGAAAUAAGAAUAUAGCUGGGACAAGUCGGGGAACGAAGUGAUAGUCCGAGAUGUUUACAUUAGUAGUCCUCACUAUUCUGUGAAAUAGUGUGAUAAUAAUUGUAAUGAGGACUCCAUUGGGUGUAGAUAUUGUCUAGAAGACAAUAUUCAUGUUAAAACUCUCGGCUUAUGUUUCGUGUUAUUUUACACGACUGUUGUAUAAUUAAGUUUGUAUUUGAGUUCUGUACCAUGUAUCUGGCGACUCAAGAUGGGUGAUGUAUACCUGUUUUGGGGCGUCACAAUUCGUGUUAAAACUCUCAGCUACGUUUUGUCGUAUUGUAUAAAUGAAGUUUGUAUUUAAGUCCCGUGCCAUGUAUUUGGCGACUCAGAAUGAGUGACGUAUACCUAUUUUGGGGGCGUCACACUUGUCAAACGGGUUUCUAAGUUUCAUAUUAUAGCAAAUGCUACUUAGUUUAUUUUACCAAUGAAAAACUAAACAAGUGCUACUUAGUUUAUGAGAACUGUUAUUCAGAAUAUAUGGAGACUACUGUACCCAUUCACUUAUACUUGUCAAACGGGUUUCUAAGUUUCAUAUUAUAGUGCACAUAUAUAUAUAUAUAUAUAUAUAUAUAUAUAUAUAUAUAUAUAUAAUACUUAUUGAGUUUUUUGAAUAUUGUGACAAACUAAGCAAAUGCUACUUAAUUUAUUUUGCUAAUGAAAAACUAAAUAAGUACCACUUAGUUUUUGAGAAUUGUUAUUUAGAAUAUAUAUGGAGAAAACUAUUAAAUUAUUUUUUUAUUUUAUAAAAUUUAAUUGUAUUAUUAUUAUAUUUAAUUGUAUUUAUUAUUAUAUUUAAUUGUAUUUUUUUUAUUUAGUACUAUCAUAUAUAAUAUAAUUUUUUAUUAUUUCAUAUUAUGUUUUAUUUUAUUUUGUAUUAUAUUAUAUAAUAGUUAAAUUUUUUUACUAAAUUAAUUUAAAUUAAUUUUGUUUUAUUUUAUUAAAUUAGAUUAAAUUUAUUAUUAUAUUUUAAUUUAUUUAAUUUUAUAUUGCAUUAUAUUAUAUAAUUUUUAUUUUUUUAUUUAAUUUAAUUUAAUUUAUUUUAAUUUAAAUUAUUUUAAUUUAAUUAAAUUAAAUUUAUUUUAUUUUAUUUUUUAUUUUAAUAAAUAUUUUUUUAUUAAAUUUAAUUUAUUUAUUAAAUUAAAUCAAAUUUUUUUUAUUCAAUUUUUUUUAUUUUAUACUAUAUUAUAUUAUAUAAUUUUUUAAUUAUUUUAUUAAAUAAAAUAAAAUUCAUUUUAUUUUAUUUAUUUUAUUAAAUAAAAUUAAAUUUAUUAUUAUGUUUAAUUAAAUUAAAUUAAAUUUUUUAUUAUAUUAUCUAAUAUUUGUAUCUAAUUUAAUUUAAAUUUACUAUUAUAUUUUAUUAUAUUUAAUUUUAUUUUUGUAUUAUAUUAUACAUGUUUUUAAUUUUCUUUACAUUUAUUAUAUUUUUAAUAUUUAUUUUAAUUAAUUUUAAUAUUCUUUAUUUUAUUUUGAAUAAUAUUAUAUUAUAUUUAUAGCUAUUUUUUAUUUUAUAUUAUAUUAUAUUGAAUAAUUUUUUACACUUAUUUUGUCUAAUAAACUAAAUUAUAUUAAAUUUAUUUUAUUUUAUUUUAGUAGUAAGAAACUAAGUAAAUGUUACUUAGUUUAUUUUAAUAUUGAGAAAUUAAUUAAAUAAUAUAUAAAUAAAUUUUCAAGGCCCACAAAUUUUGCAAAUCAAUAAUUCUGACAUAAAUUCCGUCAGGGAUUCCGUCAAAAAUACCAAAUUUGACGCCCCCCAAAUCCGAGUUACUUUUACCUCGAGUUUGGUGCUCACGAUACUAACAUACCCAUUCAUUUCAUCAAAAUACAACUUAAACCUGUCUUAGAUUAAAUAAUUAUCUUACUUAAAUCCCAGGUUCUAUAGACUUUUACAUGACUUGAAUAUCAAAAAGAUUACAAAACAUAAUGCUAAAAGUAAUUAUUACAUCAACUACUUAAGAUCAUAUAAGCAUAAACGUUUAAUAAACAUUCAUUCUGUAACUUUGCCUUUCCCUUUAUCUUUCUCAGACAUACCAGCGUUCUCGAUUUUAACUGAAAACAUUAUAUUCAACGCAAGGGUGAGCAAAAGCUUGCUUAGCAAGGAAGUAAACAAUUGAAUAUAAUGGAACAUAAAUAUUUAUAAUACAGAGGAUAUAAAUCAAAUAGAUAUUGAACAAGGCAGUUCUUUAAAAAUUUGAUUCGAAAAAUUAGACUUUAACAUGUUGUAAGGUCAAAUGACCAGUGAACUCUAUACUAGAAUUGACAGUAUUAACACUGCAAUCCAUGGAUACAAACAGUUAUUAAAACUGUUCUAUAUCCUAGACUUGUACUUUAAGGGAUCAGCCUAAGUACCCUACAUUAUGCACAACAUAACAGUCUAAUGACACUUUACAUGUCCUUCGAAAUCACAUGUCUGGUACAAUAUGCCCCUAUAAAAGACUUAUUCGUUCACAACAUUAUAUAAGAGUCCGCACCACAACAAAAUAGUUUGGAAAACAUUCAAUGAGAUUUUCAUGAAUAAUAUAUUUCAACAGUUGUCUAGCCGAAAUAAUGGCAUUGUCAUUCUUUCAAUAUUAUCAAAAUAACAAAAUUUGAAGCAUUAAGGUACAAAUAAGUUGAAUAACUUGAAAAGACGGCUUUUGAGUUAAAUACUGCAAUAUAAACUUAGUUAAGAGAGACAAGUUCGAUUUACUUGAUAACAUCCUAACUAUUCUCUUGAAGCUGAUUGAAAUAAAAAGGUUAUUUAACCUUGUUUUAUUCAUAAAUAAUGAGAGACAGUUCAGAAUUUAAAGAACCUGUCCAUAUAUGAAUAAUUCCAAAAUACUUGCUCAAGUAAGAGUUAAAAACUUGUCUUGUUUGUGGAUUACUGAUACAGACUCAAUUUAACUUGUGUGUUCUCAUUGAUCCUACACAAGUAUUUGCAUUUCCAAGCAUAUAUAUUAACCACAUAGCCAAGUCAUAUAACUUGUAAGUUCACAUAUCACAUAGUUUUAGUGAUCAUGAUUGUAGUUUAGAUUCCUGUAUCUGAGAUAUUUUAUACAUUUUUCAAAUACCUCAACCAUGUUCUUAUAAUAGCCAUUUUUCUCUUUAAUGGGGUUUAGUAUGAUUAUAACAUGCAAACACAACAUAUAUAUAGUUUACACCCUAUUAGGAAUUUAACACAUUAGUGUUUCAAUGUGUUUUUGUAACUUAUUUUAUGCUUUUGAAGGUAUUUCCAAGUUAUAUGGUCAACUUUUUGUCUAUCCCAUGAUUUAUAGCUUCAUUUCCAUACUAAUGCAUUAACUAUCUUUGUUUUUCUACAUUAUGCCAAAACAGCAUCUUUGAAGUUAAAACAAACCCAAUUUGGCUUAAUACCUCCAAUAUUAGAUGUCCCUCUGUGCUAGCUUUAUUUUAGAGUUUGUUAACUCAUUUAUAUAACAUUUGAGCAACUUGUAGGUUCAUUCAUAUCAACUAGCGUGCUAAGGCUAACAUGUUUUAAGAUUAUACCCAAAACAGUCUCUUUCUAUAUUCUUUAAUGUUUUGGGAUAUUUACAACUUAGUUGAGUAAUUUAUAGCUUCUAUAACAUUUUGUAGCUUUAUUUUCGUAUACAAAAAUGUUAAAUACUCCUGUUUUUCUAUUGUAGUCAAAACAGUCUCCUUAUUGACUAAAUGUGUCUAACUACUUUCUCUGUUGCAUUAACAGUUCCCUAGCCUUGCUUAUUUUGGCUUAACAGUCGUCUAUAACUGACCAUGCCGGCAGCCAAGCUUGGCUUGGCUAACCUUAGCGUGGCCUCAUGUGGCCCCACGGCCCCAAACUUAGCUCAUUUGUCCCAACAACCCCUAUUGAACCUAACAACCUCUUUUUAGAAUUAACAGUCCUAUUUUGGCUUGAUAAUCCCAACAUUAGAUACCUAUCUAUGUUAGCUUCAUUAUAGAGUUUACUAACUCACUUAUACCAUACUUGAGUCUAUUAUAGAUUUAUUUACGUAAGCUAAUAUUUUAGGCUAACAUGUUUCAAUAACACACCAAAAUAGUCCCUCCACGCUCUUUUCUAAAAAUAUCAUUUUCACCAUCACUCUUAAUUAUAUUAUAUUGUGGGUUUGUUAUGACCUCUACAUACUUACUUGAAAAAUUACAAACACAUUCUUUUCUCUUUUAACUAUUUCUUUAAAAGAUAAGUUAUUAAGCUACAUUUGGAAGCCAAAGAAGGUUUUAUUAUGCUACUGUAGCAGCUUCAUGCUGCUGUUUGCAGGCAACUGCUGCUACUAAUGGCAACAACCCUUGCCCCUACAAAAAAAUUCAGCCAAUCGAGGUCACUGCUGCUACUGAGGCAGCAACCCUACACAUUGCCAUGCUAAAUUCCAUUUAUUAGCUUAGUUUACAUGUUGAAACAACACCUAGUCUACACAACCCAACACCUUAGCCAAAGUAAGCCAAUACAGUUGGUCUUGGGUGACUGCUACAUUUUGCUACAAUAAUGGUUUAUUGCUGCCCACUGCUGUAUUUAGGCAGAAACCCCUUCCUCCGUGUUUCAAGUGAUUACAUACUCUAACUCCCUAAUUUAGUUUCCAAUUACUUUUGGUAAUUAAAAAAAAUAGAAUUCACCUAUUAGAAUAACCCAUAAACCAUACUAGAUGAUUAGUUUCUUAAAAUUUCAACCUUCAACCAAAAUGGUUGUCCAAAACUGCUCUUAUAUCAUACCAAAUUUUCCCAGAGCUCUUAAUUCUUUCUAGUAAUCAAUUUUUAAUCAAAACAGUCCACUUGGGACUUUUGUCGAACACAUGGUGUGCACAGUUUAAAAAUUCUUGUGUCAUAGUUUUUUGUUGUGUUUCAAAGCCAUUUUUAUCCUCCUUAUUACUCCUCAGCCCAGUCUAUCUCCUUGUGCCUAAAGUCAGUCCAUAAUAGUCAAAUACACAAUCGAAUAUAGAUAUACUCAAGUAAUUGACAACUAUUAAGCUUAUGAUUUAGCUAGUUACCAAGUUUCUUACCUUCAACCUUAUUAACAAUACAAAUCCCAGCCACAACAAUAGGCAUACUGUCACAGUCCAUUCUAUAUAACAGUUCUAGGCAUAACAAUUUAAUAUACAAUCAUAAGCAACCAACCAUCACAACCUAGUUAGUUUGCUCAUUUAACAAUUCCAACUCUUUGCAUACAACUUAGCAAGCAAUAUCUCAAUCUCCUUUUUGAGGAUCAUUAUAGCUAUAAGUAGUUACUAACAUUUCAGUUAACCACUUUUAUUCAAACUUAGAUAUCCUAAGCAUGACAUUAAUAACUAAACUAGAAGCAAGGUGUAAUCAUCAUGAAGAAACUUCCAAUAACAGUCCACAUAGAGCUCACUAUCUUAGUCCAUUUUAUUUUGUUUUGCUCAUAUAUGGAGUGAUCAAUCAUGUCAUAUUUAAGUAUAAACAUAUACUCGAGGUAUUCCUUUUUCUAUAUAAGCAAGUAGACAUGAUAUUAGGCUCUAUUUACAGCUAUCAUACACUGAUACCAUAACAGUCCCUUUAGAGCAUUUUAGGCAUGGUUUAUUACACCAAAACAGUACCAAGCAUUGAAACAUAUGCAUUUCUAAAACAUGGACCUUUUAUCUACCAUAUAUUCAUGAUUUAAAACAUCAAGGUCUUUAUGCUUUAGGCCAAAACAGUCCUCUUUAGGUUUUAAAUUAAAAAAAAUAUAAACAUGGUUUGUAAAUCAUAUGUAAACAUGUUAUACUUAAGUAUAGAAGCAUACUUGAAACAUUAGUUUCAUUGUAUAAGUAACUAAACAUGAAUUGGGACUUUAAUUCAUAGCUAGUAUGCAUUGAUACCAAAACAGCCUCUACUUGGUCAUUUAACAAAACAGUUGGUGAGCAUAAGUUUUGGUUUACAUGAAACACUUAUGUUCAUAUCUAUUUACCAGCCUCUUGGCCCUUAAAACACAACAAGGAGGCUACAUUUCCAUGCUUAUAUAGCCACGAUGGUAAAAAAUAAUAACAACACCAUAUAGCCAUACUUAAGCCUUAUAACAAUCAUUUAUAGAAAUUGAAAUUAGUAUCACAACCAUAACAGUCAAUAACAGUCCAUUAACCAUUAAUAGAUGGUUUUAUUAUACGGAAAUGAAAUGGAAUUGGGAUGGCUAGAGUUUGUAUACCUUAACUGGCUUUGAGAAAUGAUACUUUGAUGCUUAACUCCCUUGCUUCCCUCGCCAGAGCUCUGCCUCUCUCUCUCUCUCUCUCUCUCUCUCUCUCUCUCUCUCUCUCUCUCUCUUUCUAUAUGCUACUGAUUUGGAACUCAGGAAUUGGUGAAUUUAACCCAGUCUAAGCACUGUGAUUGGCCUUAUAUGGCUGAGUUUUUGUUUCUUCUUAGAGCAUCUCCAUCAAUGCAAUCCUAGACUUAGUUUUGGAACACAGAUUUCAUUUUAGCAGAUGGAUUAAAUAUUUGAAUUUUUCGAUGAGUCACAAAGACUAAAUCAAGAAACUUGAGUUGGUGAACUAUAAUUGUGAUUAUAAUUUUUAAUAUAUUUAAAUGGGAGAAAUGAAUGAAGAAGAAGGAAAAUGAGGAUGCCGAAGAAGGAGAAGCAACUGAAGAAGGAGAUAAAGGGCAGGGCUACUCUAAAUGAUAUAAAAAAAUCACAACGGUGAUAAAAU
rnacentral:lncRNA from 1 species